GAUGAACGCUGGCGGCGUGCCUAACACAUGCAAGUCGAGCGAACCCUUCGGGGUGAGCGGCGGACGGGUGAGUAACGCGUGGGUAACCUGCCCUGUACACACGGAUAACAUACCGAAAGGUACGCUAAUACGAGAUAAUAUAUUUUAAUCGCAUGGUUAAGAUAUCAAAGCUCCGGCGGUACAGGAUGGACCCGCGUCUGAUUAGCUAGUUGGUGAGGUAAUGGCUCACCAAGGCGACGAUCAGUAGCCGACCUGAGAGGGUGAUCGGCCACACUGGAACUGAGGCACGGUCCAGACUCCUACGGGAGGCAGCAGUGGGGAAUAUUGCACAAUGGGCGAAAGCCUGAUGCAGCAACGCCGCGUGAGCGAUGAAGGCCUUCGGGUCGUAAAGCUCUGUCCUCAAGGAAGAUAAUGACGGUACUUGAGGAGGAAGCCCCGGCUAACUACGUGCCAGCCGCCGCGGUAA
rnacentral:rRNA from 1 species